UAACUUGUGUGUGUGUGUCUAGAGAA
rnacentral:piRNA from 1 species